rnacentral:rRNA from 1 species
UACGAAGGGGGCUAGCGUUGCUCGGAAUCACUGGGCGUAAAGCGCACGUAGGCGGAUUGCUAAGUCAGGGGUGAAAUCCUGGAGCUCAACUCCAGAACUGCCCUUGAUACUGGCGGUCUCGAGUCCGGGAGAGGUGAGUGGAACUGCGAGUGUAGAGGUGAAAUUCGUAGAUAUUCGCAAGAACACCAGUGGCGAAGGCGGCUCACUGGCCCGUACUGACGCUGAGGUGCGAAGCGUGGGAGCAACAGG